rnacentral:lncRNA from 1 species
AUGGAUCCUAUAGUACGUCGGAAUCAGACUGAAGUUUGGCAGACAGGUAUGAAAUGGUAAACCUUGACCUUGGUUUUCAAGGCUAGGAGGCUGUCACCUAGUGUAUUUAGGAAAUGAGGAGGUCACGAUAUUAGCUGGGACUAUUGCAACAGGCGUAAAGCUUGUUUUAUUCUCAAAUUUGUCAUGCCUAAGGACCAGGUGCUAAAAAUUGGCCUAUAAAUGAUAUUUAAACAGUUGCAGGUGUGGGGAAUAGCAACCUGUUGAGGCAUAGAGCCUUGUCAUUAGGAGUGGCUUUGAUUGAGUUUAUAGAAAUGGCUUUCACAUUUUAGUAUGUAUCAAAAGCACCUGGAGGGAUUACUAAAACACGAGUUGCUGGGCCCUACCCCCGGAGUUUCUGAUUUGGUAGGUUUAGGCUGGGG